UCCGUAGGCGGUGCGGCAAGUCGGAAGUGAAAUCUCAGGGCUUAACCCUGAGGCUGCUUCCGAAACUGCCGUGCUCGAGUGCGAGAGAGGCGAGUGGAAUUGCAGGUGUAGCGGUGAAAUGCGUAGAUAUCUGCAGGAACAUCCGAGGCGGAAGCGGCUCGCUGGAUCGCAACUGACGCUGAGGGACGAAAGCUAGGGGAGCAAACAGGAUUAGAUACCCUGGUAGUCCUAGCCCUAAACGAUCAGGACUGGGCGUGGGCCUCGUACGGGGCUCGUGCCGCAGCUAACGCGUUAAGUCCUGCGCCUGGGGAGUACGGUCGCAAGGCUGAA
rnacentral:rRNA from 1 species